UACGUAGGGACCAAGCGUUGUUCGGAUUUACUGGGCGUAAAGGGCGCGUAGGCGGCGUGGUAAGUCAGUUGUGAAAUCUCCGAGCUUAACUCGGAACGGCCAACUGAUACUGCUGUGCUAGAGUGCAGAAGGGGCAAUCAGAAUUCUUGGUGUAGCGGUGAAAUGCGCAGAUAUCAGGAGGAACACCGGUGGCGAAGGCGGGUCUCUGGGCCGAUACUGACGCUGAGGCGCGAAAGCGUGGGGAGCAAACAGG
rnacentral:rRNA from 1 species